CAUGCCCCUAGAGGUGUUAGGUUUAUGCCUGCUGUGACACAUGCCUAUCAAUAGGCAGAGAUGAAAAAAGCUGUUGUCAAUGCUCAAUUUUGAACCUAUAGAUUUCUAAAUGAUUAGCAGCCUAAAAAG